UCGCUGGGACUUCACGGGCG
rnacentral:misc_RNA from 1 species